UCCCUGGUAGUCCAGUAGCUACGACUCUGCACUUCCAGUGCAGAGAACCCGGGUUCAAUCCCUGGUCAGGGAA
rnacentral:tRNA from 1 species